UACGUAGGGGCGAGCGUUGUCCGGAUUUACUGGGCGUAAAGGGUGAGUAGGCGGUUAUAUAUGUCAGGUGUAAAAAGCUAUGGCUUAACCAUAGUAAGCACUUGAAACUGUAUGACUUGAGUGCAGGAGAGGUAAGCGGAAUUCCUAGUGUAGCGGUGAAAUGCGUAGAUAUUAGGAGGAACACCGGUGGCGAAGGCGGCUUACUGGACUGUAACUGACGCUGAGUCACGAAAGCGUGGGUAGCAAACAGGAUUAGAUACCCGGGUAGUCCCUGA
rnacentral:rRNA from 1 species